UUCUCUCUUUCACUCUGGAAAGCUCGACUUCCGGCCAUCGACUUUUGGCACCGCCACCAUCACCACCACCACCACCAAAAGAUAGCCUAGUUCUAGUUUUGAUUUGGCUAUCAGAUAAUCCUUCUCUCUCUUCUUUAUCAGAUUUCAAAACCAAAACGAAGAAGAAGCCCUCGUCAAAAUGACAAAACCUAAACUGAAGUCGCCAUCUCUCUCUCUCUCUCUCGGGCACGGGCCCUCUCCCUCUCAGCCUCUAUCCUCGACGGUUCGAUUUCUUUUACAACAAAAAGAAUGACUAGAGCUUUUGGGAACCCAUUAAUCCGACACAAGUUAAUUGAGGCUAUCCAGUUCAAAAGAUAAACAAGCUCAAGCGCUCUGGUUUUGUUAACUGUGCUGAGAAGGCUAGGAGUGAAGGGCGUGGAGAUAAAGAAACCAGAGCAGCUCAAAACCAUGGCCUCACUCAUAAUCCCUGGAGGAGAGAGCACCACCAUGGCUAAGCUUGCCGAGAACCACAACCUGGUCUUUCUAUCACUCACCCAAACAGUCUCUAUUAUUUGUUGAUUUGUUUAAAGCUUUUUACUUUAUUACUCCCGGGCUCAAUAUGUAUAUGCAUGCUUCUGCAAUUGUCGAUACUUUUAGUAUAUCAGUAAAUGGGGAGAUUAGAUGAAAAUGAGGACUGUUCUAGAAAUGGUGUAAUUUGGCUAUAUGGGUUUUGUUCUUUGGUGCUUUGGGUAUAUAGGAGUGGUGGAAUUGUGAACUAUAUCGGCUUGCCUAAUAUAAUCACAAAUGACACAGGAGGUAAAGGAAAUGAAGUAGAUUAUAGCAUUAUUUGAACAUCCUAGUUCAUUUUGUUGUAGUUAGAAUUUGAUUAGAAAAAAAAAAAAAAAAAAAA